rnacentral:rRNA from 1 species
GCAGCAACGCCGCGUGGAGGAUGAAGGUCUUCGGAUUGUAAACUCCUUUUCUAAGAGAAGAUUAUGACGGUAUCUUAGGAAUAAGCACCGGCUAACUCCGUGCCAGCAGCCGCGGUAAUA